rnacentral:rRNA from 1 species
GCAGCCGCCGCGGUAAUACAGAGGGUGCGAGCGUUAAUCGGAUUUACUGGGCGUAAAGCGUGCGUAGGCGGCUUCUUAAGUCGGAUGUGAAAUCCCUGAGCUUAACUUAGGAAUUGCAUUCGAUACUGGGAAGCUAGAGUAUGGGAGAGGAUGGUAGAAUUCCAGGUGUAGCGGUGAAAUGCGUAGAGAUCUGGAGGAAUACCGAUGGCGAAGGCAGCCAUCUGGCCUAAUACUGACGCUGAGGUACGAAAGCAUGGGGAGCAAACAGGAUUAGAUACCCCCGUAGUCCCUGUCUCUUAUAA